rnacentral:rRNA from 1 species
CACGGGGGGAGCAAGCGUUGUUCGGAAUUACUGGGCGUAAAGCGCGUGUAGGCGGUUAGGUAAGUGGGAUGUGAAAUGCCCCGGCUCACCCGGGGACCUGCAUCUCAUACUGCCUGGCUUGAGUACGGGAGAGGAUGAGGGAAUUCCUGGUGUAGCGGUGAAAUGCGUAGAUAUCAGGAGGAACACCGGUGGCGAAGGCGCUCAUCUGGCCCGAUACUGACGCUGAAGCGCGAAAGCUAGGGGAGCAAACGGG